GUUUCAUCCGAGCGCAGGAUGUCGUGACAUUAUAGCGCCACAUGAAUAUUUUACACACUGCGUAGAGAUGAGAUCCGUCGCUCGCAAACACGCUGCUCUUCCUGUAAAGCGCUCUGUAACUCAGGAGACUUCAUUCACUUCUCAGGGUUCUUGGUCCAGCUUUCAUGUGCACAGCUGCUCACCUUAUAGCCAGCAGUAUACCCCCGGCAGCCCCCCUCUGCCCCGGACCGUCUGCAGGGUCCCACCGGACGCACAAACACACAGGCUCUCAUACAGACAGUGAUGGAGGACACUGACUCCAGACCAGUGACACACUGUCCCACGCUCACAGAGUCUAUUGAUCCGCUCUGGAUGGACGGCUGGAGACAAAGACACACACACACAUGGCUUACAGCAGGUUUAGAGCUGGUUCUACGCCGCUAAACUGAACAAAUCUAGAAUUAACUCAAGCACAGCUCAAAACUUCACAACUGACUGAAUCUAAUUCCCUUUAUAUCUUCCUUUCGAUGCUUUAGUGUUGUAUCUGAAGUCUGUUUAAAAGUGUAUGAAGCCUUAUGAGACAGAGAUUUACACCGACAUGUUUUAAAGUCGACAUUUCCUUCCUCCUCUUGUGUUUCUGUGUGUUUGUGGCCGGA
rnacentral:lncRNA from 1 species